GGCCAGACUCCUACGGGAGGCAGCAGUGGGGAAUAUUGGGCAAUGGGCGCAAGCCUGACCCAGCAAUGCCGCGUGAAGGAAGAAGGCUUUCGGGUUGUAAACUUCUUUGACAGGGGAAGAGCAGAAGACGGUACCCUGAAAACAAGCCACGGCUAACUACGUGCCAGCAGCCGCGGUAAUACGUAGGUGGCAAGCGUUGUCCGGAUUUACUGGGUGUAAAGGGCGUGUAGCCGGGCUGACAAGUCAGAUGUGAAAUCCGGGGGCUCAACCCCCGAACUGCAUUUGAAACUGUUGGUCUUGAGUAUCGGAGAGGCAGGCGGAAUUCCUAGUGUAGCGGUGAAAUGCGUAGAUAUUAGGAGGAACACCAGUGGCGAAGGCGGCCUGCUGGACGACAACUGACGGUGAGGCGCGAAAGCGUGGGGAGCAAACAGGAUUAGAUACCCCGGUAGG
rnacentral:rRNA from 1 species